rnacentral:lncRNA from 1 species
AACUUUGAAAAGAAACCUUUAAUGACGUUUAAUAAGUAAAGUAUUGUCGGUCCUCUCAGAUGAUUAACUAAGGUUACUAAGGUUUAGCUAUCUACAUCCCACCGUGGUCCUCACUAAUCUGGUCGGCACUUUCAAACAUAUCGCCCUCCAACUCAACUUAUUCUAUCCAUUGGUAAAACAAACUUAUUAUAUCCAACUUUUUAUUCCAUUCAAAUCCAAAUAUAAAUAAAGCAUCACUUAUGCUUAUAUUUUGAGUAAAAUAACAACUCUGGUAUUAAAAUGGAUCGCGAUCGCUAAACUGAGGAUAAAUUAAAGAAAUUUAUAAUGACGGUUAGAUAUGUAUACAGUCACUCACAAGUCACGGCUUUAUUACCCCUUGUUCUUUCCGUCUGCAAAAGAAUUGUUACAAAAAUCAGUGACUGUUAAUUUGUAAAGUCAAAUAUAUUUAAAGGAAAACGUAUCAGUUUUUUGUUUGUCAGCAACCUGCAUUAUAAGUUCGAAUCCAGAUAAUGAUACACUGACGACAUAAACAAUUUUUUAAAAUACAUGCAUGCAUGCACUAAUUUAUAAAAAAUUAUAAUUUUUUUUUAAUAUGGUUUCAAUUUAAUUAAUUAAUUUAUUCAUGUAAUGCAGAACGAGUCUUAAACAUUUUGGAUCCCCAAUACUGUAUAUAAAUAUUGUUGGCCCAUUAUUAAUUGAUUCUAAAAUUAUUAAAAUUGUCAAUAAGGAACUGAAAAACUUGUGACCUUUCCUUUAUUGAGAUGGGUAAAGAUAUAGGUAGAGCAGUAGAGCUGACGGUACGUUGUAGAAAAUUCUGGCCCCUAAAAAUUUUAAUCAUAUCAGCGGCCCUAGACACAUGGUUGACCAGCUCUUAGUUUUAGAGACUCUGAUUAUACAUCACAUAGUCUUUUAUAUCAGUAUUCAGGACAGCUGAUUCUGCCAUCUAGGUGAGAGAAAUUGACGAAGGUAUAUAGUAAUUAUUAACCAACACCAUAUAACAAUUGGUAACACGGAAAUGAAUAGGAGAAACUGCACAGUUAAUUCUAAUCUUACCUCAUAGACAUAGAUACAUCACUGUCUCGUGCUUUGAAGAUAACUCGGAAGGAUAUCUCUCUAUCUCACAAUGCAUACAUAAUAAGAAGAAAGCAGCAGCAGAGCAAUGCAUGAUUGAAGCAAUAUAUCAAAGUCAGUGGACAUUACAGGUUUGAUAUUCCUGGAUGGUAAUAAAGAUUCUAUAAAAGUGGCAGAAAACGUUAUGUAAACCGCUCAUUUUGUGUGGUAAUGAAACUUCGAUUAAUAGACGGACCGUAAGUGAACAUAAACUUUUGACUGUUUUCCUAAUUCUAGAAAACUCGUACUUGUUUGUCUAUACUUGGCGCACAUGCAUGCAUGGUCAAAC